rnacentral:tRNA from 1 species
GCCGAAGUGGUGGAAUUGGUAGACGCGCUAGAUUCAGGGUCUAGUGAGCUUCCCGCUCGUGUGGGUUCGAAUCCCACCUUCGGCACCA